AGUUCUGUGACAGUCAAAUCAGUCAUCUCGCCCGUCAAAACCUGAUGCAUCUUUAUUAUUACAAAAAUUCUAGUUUAAUGUACACUACAGUAGCUUCGCUCGGAUACCUGGCGGGUAUUAGUAUUUGAACGUUGCAUGCAUGGUUUACUAAUGGAGUACCCCUUUUUAGCAGGUUUCAUCUGCACGUUAGUGUUAGUGGCCUUCGUCAUCCAACUAACAUUUCUGAUAUACUCGGCGUCGCUGCUAUAUCUGUAACAAAUCGCAAGAACACACUUACUAAAAACUUGGAAUAAAGAUGCACAACUA